rnacentral:rRNA from 1 species
UACGUAGGGAGCAAGCGUUGUCCGGAUUCACUGGGUGUAAAGGGUGCGUAGGCGGGACAGUAAGUCAGUGGUGAAAUCUCACGGCUCAACCGUGAAACUGCCGUUGAUACUGCUGUUCUUGAGUUCGGGAGAGGUUGAUAGAAUUCCAGGUGUAGCGGUGAAAUGCGUAGAUAUCUGGAAGAAUACCAGUGGCGAAGGCGGUCAACUGGCCCGAAACUGACGCUGAGGCACGAAAGCGUGGGGAGCGAACAGGAUUAGAAACCCUAGUAGUCC